UACGUAGGUGGCGAGCGUUAUCCGGAAUGAUUGGGCGUAAAGGGUGCGCAGGCGGCGCAUUAAGUUUGAAGUAAAAGGUAGCGGCUCAACCGCUGCAAGCUUCGAAAACUGGUGUGCUGGAGUGCAGGAGAGGGCAGUGGAAUUCCAUGUGUAGCGGUAAAAUGCGUAGAUAUAUGGAGGAACACCGGUGGCGAAGGCGGCUGCCUGGCCUGUAACUGACGCUGAGGCACGAAAGCGUGGGGAGCAAACAGG
rnacentral:rRNA from 1 species